rnacentral:rRNA from 1 species
CAUUUUCAGGAAAUAGCUUUGAUUUCGUUUUUUUAAACUAAAACCGUACUUAAACCGACACAGGUAAAUAAAUUUAGUAAAUUAAGAUGUUGAGUUAACUGUUGUUGAAGGAACUCGGCAAAAUGACUCCGUAACUUCGGGAUAAGGAGUGGCUUUUUUUGGGCAACCUUUUUAAGCUCACAGAAAAUCGGGAACAGCGACUGUUUAAUAAAAACACAGGUUUCUGCUAAUUUGUAAAAAGAUGUAUAGAAACUGACGCCUGCCCAGUGCUAAAAAACUAACGAAAAAAGUUUUGGCUUUAAUCCUAACUUUUAGUAAACGGCGGCUGUAACUCUGACGGUCCAAAGGUAGCGAAAUUCCUUGUCGGGUAAGUUCCGACCUGCACGAAUGGUGUAACCAUGGCCACGCUGUCUCCACCCGAGACUCAGUGAAAUUGAAAUCGCAGUGAAGAUGCUGUGUACCCGCACCUAGACGGAAAGACCCCGUGAACCUUUACUACAGCUUGGCACUGAACAUUGAACCUACAUGUGUAGGAUAGGUGGGAGGCUUUGAAGCACAGUCGCUAGAUUGUGUGGAGCCGUCCUUGAAAUACCACCCUUGUAUGUUUGAUGUUCUAACAUUGUUCCCUUAUCGGGAAUGUGGACAGUGUCUGGUGGGUAGUUUGACUGGGGCGGUCUCCUCCCAAAUAGUAACGGAGGAGCACGAAGGUUAGCUAAUCACGGUCGGACAUCGUGAGGUUAGUGCAAUGGCAUAAGCUAGCUUAACUGCGAGACAGACACGUCGAGCAGGUACGAAAGUAGGUCAUAGUGAUCCGGUGGUUCUGUAUGGAAGGGCC